GGAGGACAUGGCUUCUUAGGGGUCGGCGGUGGAAGCUCUACCUUCGGCGGUGGGUCGUGAACUGGUACAGGAGGUGGGUGCUCAAUCUUCGGAGGUUUAGGUGGACAAGGCUUCUUAGUAAUCGGCGGUGGAAGUUCCACCUUUGGUGGUGGCUCGUGAACGGGGACAGGGGGUGGAACCUCUUCCUUUGGCGGUGGCUCGUAGACCGGAACCGGAGGAGGAACCUCCUCGGGAGGGCUGUAUUUAGGUGGACAGGGUAUCUUGAAUUUAGGAAAAGGUGGAAGUACCAAAGGCGGAUGAUCAAAGCCCUUGAAAGGAGGUAACUUAGGCAUAGGCCAGAAGAACUUGGAAACGCAAAUUUCGGGUGAAAACUUGAGGUUUUGUUUGAGACCCAAAACGUGUUUAUCCACGGACUUGGAUAAAAACACAAUCUUGGUGGAUUCAAGGCCGUCGUGAGCUGGACAAGGGGUACCCUUAGCGCUGUGAAGCUGAGCGUAACACUCCUCCUUUAAAGUUCCGUCGUCGGAGACAAUGUCAUGAGGAAUAGUCAGGCCAAACUUUCCUUUAUCGUCAAUGUUUCCGGAACCUUUUGUAACAAAAUGGCCUUUAUUCACCUUACAGUCGAUC
rnacentral:lncRNA from 1 species